AAGCGUUGAAUUGAAGCCCGAGUAAACGGCGGCCGUAACUAUAACGGUCCUAAGGUAGCGAAAUUCCUUGUCGGUUAAAUACCGACCUGCAUGAAUGGCGUAACGAGAUGGGAGCUGUCUCAACCAGAGAUUCAGUGAAAUUGUAGUGGAGGUGAAAAUUCCUCCUACCCGCGGCAAGACGGAGAGACCCCGUGGA
rnacentral:rRNA from 1 species